AAAGGUAGCAUAAUCAUUAGGGGUUUAAUUGGAACCUGGUAUGAAGGGUCGGACAAAGGAAAAACUGUCUUUAUAGCUUAAGUUGAAAUUUACUUUUAAGUGAAAAGGCUUAAAUAAAUCAAAGGGACGAUAAGACCCUAUAAAGGUUUAUAGAUAAUUUAAAUUUGGCUGAUUUAAAAAUAAAAGUUGAGUUUAAUUAUUCUAUUUUGUUGGGGUGAUGUGAGUAUAAUUAAUAUUAACUGCUUAUAAAAAAUUCUCUUAUAGGAGAAUCAAUAGUGAAUGAUCCUUUUUAAAGAUUAAAAGACUAAGUUACUUUAGGGAUAACAGCGUUAUUUCUUUUGAGAGUUCAUAUCGAAAAAGAAGAUUGCGACCUCGAUGUUGAAUUAAAAUAUCUAUAUAAUGUAGCCGUUAUAAAAGAGGGUCUGUUCGACCUUUAAAUU
rnacentral:rRNA from 1 species